rnacentral:tRNA from 1 species
AUUUAAGUAGUUUAAAAAAAAAACAAUGAUUUGUGGUAUCAUGGAUAUAAUUUUAUCUUAAAUU